CCUACGGGAGGCAGCAGUAAGGAAUAUUGGACAAUGCUCGCAAGAGUGAUCCAGCCAUGCCGCGUGCAGGAAGAAUGCCCUAUGGGUAGUAAACUGCUUUUGAACUAGAGAAAACCCCAGUACGUGUACUGGGCUGAUAGUAUAGUUAGAAUAAGCAUCGGCUAACUUCGUGCCAGCAGCCGCGGUAAGACGAAGGAUGCAAGCGUUAUCCGGGAUUCAUUGGGUUUAAAGGGAGCGUAGGUGGACUGAUAAGUCAGUGGUGAAAUCUCCGAGCUUAACUCGGAAAUUGCCAUUGAUACUGUUGGUCUUGAGUACAGUUGCUGUGGGCGGAAUAUGACAUGUAGUGGUGAAAUACAUAGAGAUGUCAUAGAACACCGAUUGCGAAGGCAGCUCACAAAGCUGUAACUGACACUGAGGCUCGAAAGUGCGGGGAUCAAACAGGAUUAGAUACCCUGGUAGUCCGCACCGUAAACGAUGAUUACUCGCUGCUAGGGGGCAACCUUUAGUGGCUUAGCGAAGCGAUAAGAAUCCACCUGGGAGUACGCCGGCAACGGUUGAAACGUCAAAGAGAGUUAGAGNGNGAGAGNGCGAGACGACACGAGGGAGGAGG
rnacentral:rRNA from 1 species